AAAACCGCCAGAGAAUUACGAGCGCAAGCUUAAAACUCAAAGGACUUGACGGUGUCUCAUCUACCUAGAGGAGCCUGUUCUAUAAUUGAUAAUCCCCGAUAAACCUCACCCCUUAUUGCCUACCAGCCUGUAUACUUCCGUCGUAAGUUUACCAUAUGAAUGUACAAGUAGACUAAAUAGUUUAUUUACCAAAACGUCAGGUCAAAGUGCAGCUAAUAAAGGGGGAAGAAAUGGGCUACAGUUUCUAUAUAAGAAUAUACGGAAUAACAAUUUGAAAACCGUUAUGAAGGUGGAUUUAGAAGUAAUGUGAUAAUAGAGUGUUCACAUUAAUAAUGCUCUGGGACGUGUACACACCGCCCGUCACCCU
rnacentral:rRNA from 1 species